rnacentral:rRNA from 1 species
GACGAACGCUGGCGGUGUGCUUCACACAUGCAAGUCGAACGAGGUAGCAAUACCUAGUGGCGGACGGGUGAGUAACGCGUGGGAAUCUGCCUUUAGAUGGGGGAUAACGGGUCGAAAGACUCGCUAAUACCGCAUAUGACGAAAGUUGAAAGGAGUAAUCCGUCUAAAGAUGAGCCCGCGUCCGAUCAGCUAGUUGGUAGAGUAAAAGCCUACCAAGGCGACGAUCGGUAGCUGGUCUGAGAGGAUGAUCAGCCACAAUGGGACUAGAGACACGGCCCAUACUCCUACGGGAGGCAGCAGUGGGAAUUUACGCAAUGGGCGAAAGCCUGACGUAGCGACACCGCGUGAGCG